rnacentral:misc_RNA from 1 species
CUUUUUUUUUUUUUUUUUUCCUCCCCCUACAUAUGAGGGACCCAUAAACUAUGACAUAUCCAUGUAUACUUGCCUUCUUCUGAUGGAAACCAUGGAUGUGGCAUUUGUAUGGUCUGACAAUUGAACUUGUUAAUGUGAUUGCGUUUUAAUGGUUUGUUCACUAGAUUUUUGGUUUGGUUAUUCGUCCAAUUGUCCUUACUGUUAAUGUGCAUAUCUAUUAGUGUUCACUUACUACAUAUUGUUCUGGUUUUCUUGUCUUUAUGAUUCUCUUCCUUAGAUAUUGUUAGUGGGUGAAUCUCUUACCUCGGAGAUUUUAAAUUCCUUCUUGGAUUGCAGGGAAAAGAUGAAGCAAAACCUAAAGAAAUAUUAAGCAAAGUACAGAGUGUGUAGCAUAUGGUAAGGCUGGUAAUAUGACAUUUCUUAUCAGUUUCCUGUUCUACCAUAUGCUUAUUAUUCGAUUUUGACCAACAGAUUGCUGGUAUGCAGUUUUCAAAUUGCGCGAAAAUGCAUGUUGAAUCACCCUUAUAUUACCAUAUCUACAGACCUAAUAUAUGGAAUAUCAAAAGUACCUCUGGAUUGUUAAAGGGAACGGUCGUUUGGAUUUCUAGAGAUCGGCUUGCUUGCAAUUUGCUGCUACUUAUUGCAGCUGUUAAACAAGUUUGGCUGUGGUGUAUUAGGCUGUAAGUUACGUGAUCUCUUUAUAUGUCAAAAUUUUUUGUUCAUGGACUUGAUGAGUUGCAAUCAAAUUUGAGUAAUCCAAGUUGUUGAGAUGUAUUCAACAUCUGUACUUGCACACCUGACUAAAACAUUUACCAGCAGCAAUUAUGUUGCGGCCAAGCUUGGGAUUAUGUUUCAAAAUUCGAACACGUAAUGGGUAUUAUUUUUUAAAUUAAAACUUAUUUCAAAUUCGAUUAUAUAUUAUCUAUAUCUAUAAAUACCUGAUCUAUUGUCAUCCUUAAUUUAAAUAAAGCCUUAGCAACAUAAAAAAUCGAAAUAGAAAUGGU